GACUUCUGGUUUAAUGCACCUGGCCCGCGGCCCACUGAGUGCCGCAUCCUUCCAGCAACGGCUACCCCCCUUAACUGGGCGGCUGGAACUGGAUCUUUUACUUUGAAAAAAUUAGAGUGUUUAAGCAGGCGUUUGUCUGAAUACAUUAGCAUGGAAUUCUCCUCUCGGACUUCGGUUCUAUUUUGUUGGUUUAUUGCUAGGGAUAGUUGGGGGUGCUAGUAUUGGUCAGAGGUGAAAUUCUUGGAUUCGGUCAAGACUAACUUUGCGCAUU
rnacentral:rRNA from 1 species